rnacentral:rRNA from 1 species
AUACGUAGGGUGCGAGCGUUAAUCGGAGUUACUGGGCGUAAAGCGUGCGCAGGCGGUUGUGCAAGACAGGCGUGAAAUCCCCGGGCUUAACCUGGGAAUGGCGCUUGUGACUGCACGGCUGGAGUGCGGCAGAGGGGGAUGGAAUUCCGCGUGUAGCAGUGAAAUGCGUAGAUAUGCGGAGGAACACCGAUGGCGAAGGCAGUCCCCUGGGCCUGCACUGACGCUCAUGCACGAAAGCGUGGGGAGCAAACAGGAUUAGAUACCCUGGUAGUCCACGCCCUAAACGAUGUCGACUGGUUGUUGGGCCUUAGGUGGCUCAGUAACGAAGCUAACGCGUGAAGUCGACCGCCUGGGGAGUACGGUCGCAAGACUAAA